GACGGUACCCAAGGAGAAAGCCACGGCUAACUACGUGCCAGCAGCCGCGGUAAUACGUAGGUGGCAAGCGUUGUCCGGAUUUACNUGGGCGUAAAGGGAGCGUAGGUGGAUAUUUAAGUGGGAUGUGAAAUACUCGGGCUUAACCUGAGUGCUGCAUUCCAAACUGGAUAUCUAGAGUGCAGGAGAGGAAAGUAGAAUUCCUAGUGUAGCGGUGAAAUGCGUAGAGAUUAGGAAGAAUACCAGUGGCGAAGGCGACUUUCUGGACUGUAACUGACACUGAGGCUCGAAAGCGUGGGGAGCAAACAGGAUUAGAUACCCUGGNUAGUC
rnacentral:rRNA from 1 species